GAUGAACGCUGGCGGCGUGCCUAAUACAUGCAAGUCGAGCGAACAGACGAGGAGCUUGCUCCUCUGACGUUAGCGGCGGACGGGUGAGUAACACGUGGAUAACCUACCUAUAAGACUGGGAUAACUUCGGGAAACCGGAGCUAAUACCGGAUAACAUGUUGAACCGCAUGGUUCAACAGUGAAAGACGGUUUUGCUGUCACUUAUAGAUGGAUCCGCGUCGCAUUAGCUAGUUGGUAAGGUAACGGCUUACCAAGGCAACGAUGCGUAGCCGACCUGUGAGGGGGAUCGGCCACCCUGGAGCUGAGACACGAUCCAGACACCUACGGGAGGCAGCAGUAGGGAAUCUUCCGAAAUGGGCGAAAGCCUGACGGAGCAACGCCGCGUGAGUGAAGAAGGGCUUCGGAUCGUAAAACGCUGUUAUUAGGGAAGAACAAAUGUGUAAGUAACGAUGCACGUCUUGACGGUACCGAAUCAGAAAGCCACGGCUAACUACGU
rnacentral:rRNA from 1 species